CGAGUGGUUGUUCAGCUGGUUAGAUUGUCCCGACUCGUCGGGAAGGUCGCGGGUUCGAGUCCCGUCCAUUCCG
rnacentral:tRNA from 1 species